CCACAGAGGUAGAAACCGACAACAAGGAGCCACUAAGUGCAGUGAAACAACAAAAUUAUAUCAUCUGGCCGGAGACAUGGAUCUUGUGAGAGUGUCACCCGAUGGGCAGUUAACAACAAUGACGCGUGGAGUGCUGCUCAGUGAUGAGCUGAUAGACUGCAGCUGUGACAAGAAGCUGCCAGGGACUCUGAUUGCCUGCAGGAGCUCAUAGACACACAGAGAGGACGAGGAAGAUGAGUUCACACCAAGGAGGAAGGAAGACGAGCAAUAGAGGGAGAGAAGGACCUCCUGGCCUGCUGCAGACUGGCGACCUGUCCAGGUGUACCCUACCUUCGUCCAACUGGGACAGGCUCCGGCGACCCCGUGACCCUGAAAGGGAUCCAGCAGAGCAUACCUAUGUGAAGAAAUGUUCCAAGCAACAUGGAUCACCCUUCCCUGUUUAAAAAAAAAAGCAAUCUUGGACACCAAUAAAGCUCCAGAUCCCCUUCAAUUGGAGGUCUAAGGAGAGGCAGGAGGGAAGAAUUCGCAUUUGGCCAUAUACUUUCCUCAAAAACAAGACUCUUCAUAAGAAAAAAACUGGUUCCACAGACAGCCAGAUGCUCCACUGCUAUGGUUUAUCUCAGCCAGACUGAGUCCCAUCAUCCUCCCUUAAUACCGUCACCGUUCUGGCAGCUCUGAUGGAUCACUGGCAGACUGUCGACAAACAUGAAAGUGAGACAAAUCUAGCCCAUACCUAGAGGGUGUCCAAAGAAUUUCAUACCUGGAAGGUGUGUUUGUGAUUUCACAUCAGUUCAUUUUAGUUUGCUUUCACUUCUCCCAGCUUUCUGUGAGCUGGUCUGAGAUAUGUGUAUCCAUGUCCUGAGCGGUUCUGCCCCGGCAACACAUUAGGGAGGGGCUUUGUGAGCUGGGACACUGAAUCCGUAUGCUUUUUGAAGAUAUUGUCACUGUAUCCUUGAGGUCACAAUAAAUCCACUUUAAUGAUGGGACGUCAAAUUGAUUGCCCCUGAUCUCCCACUCAC